UAACACAUGCAAGUCGAGGGGCAGCAUUUCUAGCUUGCUAGAAGAUGGCGACCGGCGCACGGGUGAGUAACGCGUAUGCAACCUACCUUAUACUGGGGGAUAGCCCAGAGAAAUCUGGAUUAAUACCGCAUAAUAUGUUUGAAUCGCAUGGUUUGAAUAUUAAAACUCCGGUGGUAUAAGAUGGGCAUGCGUAGCAUUAGUUAGUUGGUGAGGUAACGGCUCACCAAGACAAUGAUGCUUAGGGGGUCUGAGAGGAUAGUCCCCCACACUGGUACUGAGACACGGACCAGACUCCUACGGGAGGCAGCAGUGAGGAACAUUGGUCAACGGGCGCAAGCCUGAACCAGCCAUGUCGCGUGCAGGAUGACGGCCCUAUGGGUUGUAAACUGCUUUUUUUACAGGAAUAAUUGCUUUCACGUGUGAGAGUUUGAAUGUACUGUAUGAAUAAGGAUCGGCUAACUCCGUGCCAGCAGCCGCGGUAAUACGGAGGAUUCGAGCGUUAUCCGGAUUUAUUGGGUUUAAAGGGUCCGUAGGCGGCUUUUUAAGUCAGUGGUGAAAUCCCAGAGCUCAACUCUGGAACUGCCAUUGAAACUGAAGAGCUUGAAUAUGGUUGAGGUAGGCGGAAUACGUUAUGUAGCGGUGAAAUGCAUAGAUAUAACGUAGAACACCAAUUGCGAAGGCAGCUUACUAAGCCAUUAUUGACGCUGAUGGACGAAAGCGUGGGGAGCGAACAGGAUUAGAUACCCUGGUAGUCCACGCCGUAAACGAUGAUUACUCGUUGUGCACAAUACAUCGUGCGUGACUGAGCGAAAGCAUUAAGUAAUCCACCUGGGGAGUACGUUCGCAAGAAUGAAACUCAAAGGAAUUGACGGGGGCCCGCACAAGCGGAGGAACAUGUGGUUUAAUUCGAUGAUACGCGAGGAACCUUACCUGGACUUAAAUGUAGAUUGACCGGUUUAGAAAUAGAUCUUCCCUUCGGGGCAAUUUACAAGGUGCUGCAUGGUUGUCGUCAGCUCGUGCCGUGAGGUGUCGGGUUAAGUCCCAUAACGAGCGCAACCCCUAUCGUUAGUUGCUAGCAGGUAAUGCUGAGGACUCUAGCGAGACUGCCACCGUAAGGUGAGAGGAAGGUGGGGAUGACGUCAAAUCAGCACGGCCCUUACGUCCAGCCUACACACGUGUUACAAUGGCCAGUACAAAGGGCAGCUACCUGGUGACAGGAUGCUGAUCUCAAAAGCUGGUCUCAGUUCGGAUCGGAGUCUGCAACUCGACUCCGUGAAGUUGGAUUCGCUAGUAAUCGUAUAUCAGCAAUGAUACGGUGAAUACGUUCCCGGGCCUUGUACACACCGCCCGUCAAGCCAUGGAAGCCGAGGGUGCCUGAAGUACGUUACCGCAAGGAGCGUCCUAGGGUAAAAUUGGUAACUGGGGCUAAGUCGGAACAAGGUA
rnacentral:rRNA from 1 species